UCGGGAAUUUUGGGCAAUGGGCGAAAGCCUGACCCAGCAACGCCGCGUGAAGGAUGAAAUCCCUCGGGAUGUAAACUUCGCAAGAUUGGGAAGAAUUAGUAGGGGUUAAUACCCCCUAUGAUGACGGUACCUUUUGUAAGCUCCGGCUAACUCCGUGCCAGCAGCCGCGGUAAUACUCCUACGGGAG
rnacentral:rRNA from 1 species